GCCGGGUGCGGUGGCAUGUGCCUGUAAUCCAAGUCACUGGGAGGCUGAGGUUGGUGGAUCAAGUGAGCUGAGGAGCUCUGGGCUGCAGCACUCUAUGUCGAACGGGUGUCCACGCUAAGUUCGGUGUCGAUAUGGUGUUCCUGGGGGAGCCGGGACCACCAGGUUGUCUAAGGAGGGGUGAACCGGCCCAGGUCGGAAACAAAGCAGGUCAAAUCCCCCGUGCUGUCCAGUAGUGGGAUAAUACCUGUGAGUAGAUGCUGCAGUGCAGCCUUGGCAAAACAUUGAUACCUAAUCUUUU
rnacentral:SRP_RNA from 13 species